AGUGAUGCUGUCCACUCGGAUUGGGUCAGGCUCUUUUGGAACUGUUUAUAAGGGUAAAUGGCACGGAGAUGUUGCAGUAAAGAUCCUAAAGGUUGUCGACCCAACCCCAGAGCAAUUCCAGGCCUUCAGGAAUGAGGUGGCUGUUCUGCGCAAAACACGGCAUGUGAACAUUCUGCUUUUCAUGGGGUACAUGACAAAGGACAACCUGGCAAUUGUGACCCAGUGGUGCGAGGGCAGCAGCCUCUACAAACACCUGCAUGUCCAGGAGACCAAGUUUCAGAUGUUCCAGCUAAUUGACAUUGCCCGGCAGACGGCUCAGGGAAUGGAGUGAGUAGAUGGUCUGAUGCCUCUCUGGGACCCAGGCAUCAAAUUUGUCCCUAAAUUGGAACCAGGAUCAGGAAAAGCCUUCUAGUCCAUUAAGCGAUUCUGUGAUAUCUUUGCACAAGCCUCUGGCCUGGGCUGGAGGGGCCAAUUAUCAGGAAUG
rnacentral:sRNA from 1 species